rnacentral:rRNA from 1 species
GAUGAACGCUGGCGGCAUGCCUAAUACAUGCAAGUCGAACGGCAGCACGGGGCAACCUGGUGGCGAGUGGCGAACGGGUGAGUAAUGCAUCGGAACGUACCUUUCAGUGGGGGAUAACGUAGCGAAAGUUACGCUAAUACCGCAUAUUCUGUGAGAAGGAAAGCAGGGGAUCGCAAGACCUUGCGCUGAUUGAGCGGCCGAUGUCAGACUAGCUGGUUGGUGAGGUAAAGGCUCACCAAGGCGACGAUCUGUAGCGGGUAUGAGAGGAUGAUCCGCCACACUGGAACUGAGACACGGUCCAGACUCCUACGGGAGGCAGCAGAGGGGAAUUUUGGACAAUGGGGGCAACCCUGAUCCAGCCAUGCCGCGUGAGUGAAGAAGGCCUUCGGGUUGUAAAGCUCUUUCGGCCGGGAAGAAAUCGCACGGGCUAAUACCCUGUGUGGAUGACGGUACCGGAAUAAGAAGCACCGGCUAACUACGUGCCAGCCGCCGCGGUAAUAC